AGUUGUAUACAACACAGUUGAAGA
rnacentral:snRNA from 1 species